CGGGCCCCGAGGCGAGCCCGGCGAGCCUCACCUUGAACUCGCGGCUGUGCUGCGGGGUGUACUCCAGCGUCCAGAGCGCCCGCACCAGUGUCUCAAGGGGCACGUGACCAGGAUUCAUCACCAAAUUUAGUCCACUGGUUGGAGCACUGGCAGGAAGUGCGACGUGAACGCUGUUUCAUGCCCCCCAGAAGUGUCUGUGUCCAGCUAAAGAUGCUGCAGUGUUCCCACUUCCACAAUUUAAGCGAUAACAGAUCAAAACUGUGGAAAAUACAGCAGCUGUCUGCCCAUCAACACGCAAGUGCACAAGGGUUUGAGUCACGCGAGUGAAGAGACGUAUUAAAUAAUGGAAGAUCAGGGCAAUGGUGCGAGUGAUCCUACUACAUCCCCCCCAAAAAAGCUGCACAGUCAGUGAUAACUGGCUGAACGAAACAGACUACAAAGCCUGGCUGGCAAAAUGUGCUGAUAAAACAAAUGCCCUUUUAUUAUCAA